rnacentral:rRNA from 1 species
UACAGAGGGUGCGAGCGUUAAUCGGAAUUACUGGGCGUAAAGCGUGCGUAGACGGUUAUUUAAGUCGGAUGUGAAAGCCCCGGGCUCAACCUGGGAAUUGCAUUCGAGACUGAAUAGCUAGGGUACGGUAGAGGGAAGUGGAAUUUCCGGUGUAGCGGUGAAAUGCGUAGAUAUCGGAAGGAACACCGGUGGCGAAGGCGGCUUCCUGGACCGACACUGACGCUGAGGCGCGAAAGCUAGGGGAGCAAACGGG